AUUUAUUAGAUAUCAAACCAGUAGUCUUUCGGGAUUAUUGUGAUGAUUCAUAAUAACUGAUCGGAUCAAGGAGUUCCUUGAUAGAUCAUUCAAGUUUCUGCCCUAUCAGCUUUCGAUGGUAGUGUAUUGGACUACCAUGGCAGUCACGGGUAACGGAGAAUUAGGGUUCGAUUCCGGAGAGGGAGCCUGAGAAACGGCUACCACAUCUACGGAAGGCAGCAGGCGCGUAAAUUACCCAAUCCUGAUUCAGGGAGGUAGUGACAAGAAAUAACAACUCGGGCAUUUUUAAUGCUUCGAAUUUGCAAUGGGAACAAUCUAAAUCACUUAUCGAGGAACAAUUGGAGGCAAGUCUGGUGCCAGCAGCCGCGGUAAUUCCAGCUCCAAUAGCGUAUAUUAAAAGUUGUUGCAGUUAAAAAGCUCGUAGUUGAAUUUCUGAUUAUGAAUGUACUGGGUAACCGGUCCAUUUAUAGUCAUCCACAUGAGAACCUUUCUCGGCCUUCACUGGUCGGUUGGGGA
rnacentral:rRNA from 1 species